UACGAAGGGGGCUAGCGUUGCUCGGAAUCACUGGGCAUAAAGCGCACGUAGGCGGUGACGUAAGUCGGGUGUGAAAUCCCUCGGCCUAACCGAGGAACUGCGCCCGAUACUGCGUUGCUUGAGGACCAGAGGGGUGCAUGGAAUUUCCGGUGGAGCGGUGAAAUGCGUUGAUAUCGGAAGGAACUCCGGCGGCGAAAGCGAUGCACUGGCUGGUUUCUGACGCUGAGGUGCGAAAGCCAGGGGAGCAAACGGG
rnacentral:rRNA from 1 species